UACGGGAGGCAGCAGUGGGGAAUAUUGCACAAUGGGCGAAAGCCUGAUGCAGCUAUGCCGCGUGUAUGAAGAAGGCCUUAGGGUUGUAAAGUACUUUCAUCGGGGAGGAAAAAACAAAACUAAUAAUUUUAUUUCUUGACGUUACCCGAAAAAGAAGCACCGGCUAACUCCGUGCCAGCAGCCGCGGUAAUACGGAGGGUGCUAGCGUUAAUCAGAAUUACUGGGCGUAAAGAGCACGUAGGUGGUUUUUUUAAAGUUCAGAUGUGAAAUCCCUGGGCUUAACCUAGGAACUGCAUUUUGAAACUGAAAUACUAGAGUAUCGUAGAGGGAGGUAGAAUUCUAGGUGUAGCGGUGAAAUGCGUAGAUAUCUGGAGGAAAUACCUGUGGCGAAAGCGGCCUCCUAAAACGAAUAACUGACACUGAGGUGCGAAAAGCGUGGGGAGCAAAACAGGGAUUAGAUACC
rnacentral:rRNA from 1 species